rnacentral:rRNA from 1 species
AGCUUGCUUGCUUUGCUGACGAGUGGCGGACGGGUGAGUAAUGUCUGGGAAACUGCCUGAUGGAGGGGGAUAACUACUGGAAACGGUAGCUAAUACCGCAUAACGUCGCAAGACCAAAGAGGGGGACCUUCGGGCCUCUUGCCAUCGGAUGUGCCCAGAUGGGAUUAGCUAGUAGGUGGGGUAACGGCUCACCUAGGCGACGAUCCCUAGCUGGUCUGAGAGGAUGACCAGCCACACUGGAACUGAAACACGGUCCAGACUCCUACGGGAGGCAGCAGUGGGGAAUAUUGCACAAUGGGCGCAAGCCUGAUGCACCCAUGCCGCGUGUAUGAAGAAGGCCUUCGGGUUGUAAAGUACUUUCAGCGGGGAGGAAGGGAGUAAAGUUAAUACCUUUGCUCAUUGACGUUACCCGCAGAAGAAGCACCGGCUAACUCCGUGCCAGCACCCGCGGUAAUACGGGAGGGUGCAAGCGUUAAUCGGAAUUUACUGGGCGUAAAAGCGCACGCACGCGGUUUGUUAAUUCAGAUGUGAUAAUCCCCGGGCUCAACCCUGGGAACUGCAUCUGAUACUGGCAAGCUUGAGUCUCGUAGAGGGGGGGUAGAAUUCCAGGUUGUAGCCGGUGAAAUGCCUAAAAGAUCUGGAGGAAUACCGGUGGGCGAAGGCGCCCCCUGGACCAAAAACUGACUCUCAGGUGCGAAAGCUUGGGGGAGCAUACGAGAUUAAAUUACCCCUGUAGUCCCCGCCGUAAACCAUGUCAACUUGAAGGUGUGGCCCUUGAGGCGUGGCGUCCGGAGACUAAC